rnacentral:rRNA from 1 species
GACGAACGCUGGCGGCGUGCCUAAUACAUGCAAGUAGAACGCUGAAGAGAGGAGCUUACUCUUCUUGGUUGGUUUGCGGACGGGUGAUUAACGCGUAUUUAACCUGCCUUGUAGCGGGGGAUAACUAUUGGAAACGAUGUCUAAGACCGCAUAACUAUUGGUGACACAUUUCAUUUGUUUGGAAGGGGCAAUUGCUUCAGUACAAGAUGGACCUGCGUUGUAUUAGCUAGUAGGUGAGGGACUGGCUCACAUAGCCGAGGAUACAUAGCCGACCUGAGAGGGUGAUCGGCCAAACUGGGAUUGAGGCAUGGCCCAGCAUCCUACGGGAGGCAGACGUCGGGAAGCUCCGGCAAUGGGAGCAAUCCUGACCGAGCAACGCCGCGCGAGUGCAGAAGGUUUUAGGAUCGUAUAGCUCUGUUGUAAGUUAAGAUCGGGUGUGAGAGUGACACGUUAACAUUGUGACGGUAGCUUAAGAGAAAGGGCCGGCUAACUCCGUG